AAAUACAGAGAGUAAAGACAGACAGAAAGACAGAGAGAAAGACAGAGAGAAAAGACAGAGAAAAGAUAAAAAAAAUACCAACAUUUUGUUUGAACAAAUGCGGAUAAAAAAUAAAGUGAGCCAUUGAGCGAUUAAAGUGCCAAGUGCAGAGACUUCAAGAGGUGUGGUCUGAGUGGUUAAGCUCUCACUACGAACAGUCUAGACGCCACAAACCAAGGACUUUAUCAAACGAUACAAGGUGCUGUAAGAUUUUACUUGGCCUCCUGUAAACACAAGGGGACAGUUUAUUCUUCUUGUGUUCUGGAGAGAGCGGCCGGCCGGCCGGCUAACUAGCGCCCCUGCAUCCAGGCCCCUACCCAUAAACCCUGUUCUCCAAGCCACGCAGGCCAGGCGACCCCCUCCCUCUGACAUUGCCGGACACUCAAAUGGAGAUGCAUUGUUCACACAAUGUCUUUAUGGGUAUGACUGGUCCAUUAAUUAUAGAACACCCUAUCAUAGCAUUCCCUGGAAAGAACACACCUGUGUUUCGCAGAAACACAGGAAUAAAAUAUGUAUUACUGGAUAAAUAUUUGGGUGGUGAGGAAACGUGAUGUGGUCAUGGUUACAGUGUGGUCAUGGUUACAGUGUGGUCAUGGUUACAGUGUGGUCAGAUAUUUGUUUUGUCUUUCAGUAUUGGAAUUGCAGAGAUAUGACACAUUCAAAUACAUUAAAAUCACACAUGCCAAUACAUUGCAUUCCACAACUACACAAACACAUGAAAAACAUCCAAUAUGGCCGCCACAGCCUUCUUCCUCUUCUCCCUUGACCCGGUGUCAGUCCAGGCAUGUCCAGUUCAUUGGCUUUAGCCCUGUGUCUCAGACAGACGGUAGCCAGCCCCACGAUUGAGCUGUCAACAGUGGAGGACUGUGAGUAAACCUCUACUAGACCAGAGGAGAGAGAGCGAACCAGAGAAUCCUUCUGAGUAGGUCAGCAGGCACACUCACCAACUGCUCAUGCAGGGACGGAGUAGGGUCGAGCCUCUCCCUUCUUGCUAACGCUAAGCUAACUCUCGCUCUCCUAAAGCCACACUGGCGUUCUGCCUGGAGAAACCCGCCUCGCUGUCUCUCCUCCAGACUACUAAAACACCAAGGUGAAAGGUGGGCCACGGAAGGAAGUAAGG
ensembl:lncRNA